rnacentral:rRNA from 1 species
AACGAACGCUGGCGGCAUGCCUAACACAUGCCAGUCGAACGAGACCUUCGGGUCUAGUGGCGCACGGGUGCGUAACGCGUGGGAACCUGCCCUUAGGUUCGGAAUAACUCCCCGAAAGGGGUGCUAAUACCGGAUAAUGUCUUCGGACCAAAGAUUUAUCGCCUUUGGAUGGGCCCGCGUUGGAUUAGCUAGUUGGUAGGGUAAAAGCCUACCAAGGCGACGAUCCAUAGCUGGUCUGAGAGGAUGAUCAGCCACACUGGGACUGAGACACGGCCCAGACUCCUACGGGAGGCAGCAGUGGGGAAUAUUGGAAAAUGGGCGAAAGCCUGAUCCAGCAAUGCCGCGUGAGUGAUGAAGGCCUUAGGGUUGUAAAGCUCUUUUACCCGGGAUGAUAAUGACAGUACCGGGAGAAUAAGCUCCGGCUAACUCCGUG